GCACAUUUGGAUGGAGAACUCUCGAACACUAAGGCAGAUGAUGAAGAUGUAAAGAGGAGAAGGUCACCAAUUCAAAGGGUGGUAAGCCAAUACCAUUGACUGAAGAAGCCAAUGGUGCUACGUCUUUAUAAGUUGAGGUUAAAUAAUGUUUGUAUGGAUGCUACAUAAUUAAGAGUGGAGCUAUGUAGAAUAGAUAAAAUAAACUUUGUGAUAAGUUACUGGUUGGUUAUUGACAACCUUGAGAAUUAGACUGAUGAUUAGGCAGUUUAGUUGGUAAUAGUAGGUUGUUAGUAGAAUAAAUGGUUAAGAAUUCAAAGGGUCAUAACCUUUGGAAUCCUCUAGCUGACGGAUCAUCUUUUUGGUAGGAUAAAUAGGUUGAGAGUCGUAAGCCAAGAGCCAAACUGUGAGAGUCGUAAGCCGAGAGCCAGACUGUAAAAGUCGUAAGCCGAGGUAAGUUUGGUGCUACCUCUUUGUUUUUUUUAUUAUUUGCUUAUGAAGAAUUGUGAUAGAGAGAAGUAUUAUUGAAUUGAUAAUCAUAGAAUGGAUUAU
rnacentral:lncRNA from 1 species